UGCAUUUUGUAUCCUCCAAAACAUACGUUCUGAGCUUGCUUUGUCAAAAUAUUUUAACGCUCCAAAUUGAUUGUUCAAAUCUACCAAAGGAACAAGUACAUAUUACACUUUACAAUGUUUCUUCCUCUAUUAAAGUAUGCAUUUUGUAUCCUCCAAAACAGGUUUGUCUAACUAAUGUACAUUGUGUAUGCCUUCAAAACUUGAAACAAAAAACUACAGAUGAGCUAUCUCAACUUCCUCAACCUGAAAGAGAAAAACCAUUGAAACAGAGAGCUUGUGUCAGCAUCAUUAAUCAAGUCCCGUCUGUUUACAUCAAGCAUCUUCAACAUCAUCCGAUUCCUAGCUUACAUUACACAAUCAGUUUGUGUACUGCAACAAGGAAAUUCCUGCAAACUGAGUCAAAGCUAAAGUCACAUUUUUUUCAACACAGAAAAGAAUGAAAAUUACAAGUGCAACUGUAUUGACAACAUGCUCUAUAUAUACUCUGCCUCAACCUGUAGUGUAAAACCCAUCUGUUUAAACCCAUCACCAGCAACAAUAUUAAACCCAUCUGUUUCAACUCACAUUAACAAACAAAUAAGUGGUAUAUUACUAUGAAUAAAUGUUUCUUAGUAGCAUUUCAAACUGUCAGGAAGAUUGAACACGAUAUUAAAAACUACCUGACUUGGAACUGAUCCCAUGAUUAGUGCAAUUCUGAAGGACACUCUGUAGAAAAAAAAUUCCAAGGUAAUACAAAGAUAUAGAUAUACAAGACAUGUCAUAGAAAUCUCAGUUCCACCUGUGGGUGAAUCACAUUCAGCAUCUACACUUGGAUCCUGAGUAGAACAAUCUAAUGUAAAACACAUCCACUGUAAGUAGUAAACUAGGAAUAAGCAAUUUAGAAUCGCGAGCCCUUACCGAUUCGAACUGAUAAGCGAAGCCCUUACCAAACUAGGUCUUAGCAAUCGCGAUGAAGAAGGAACUCGUUCCCUCAGUCGAAACAAGGGAAUCGAUUUAUCUCGUUGGCUUUCUCUCUUGCAGCAAGGGAAUUGAUUUGUCUCGCUUUCUCUCUUGCAGUAAAAUAUAAUCGCUUUCUCUCUUGCAGCAAAAUACAAAAUAUUUGUCAAGGCCUUCGCAGGACUGGAGUUCGAGAAACACGGCUUCAAUUUCAAACAGGGCUUCGAUUUCGCAGGACAAGGAUUUCUCUCUCUUCGAUUUUGGCAGUGGACGAUUUCAAGGGAGAUGAUUUUGGGGGUAAGGGAUUUCUAGCGAGAGUUAUUAUGACUGAGUGAGGUGAGAUAUAUUAAAAAGCCGUGUUUUUAAAGUGGAAUGCUUUUAAGGGGCGUA
rnacentral:lncRNA from 1 species